rnacentral:rRNA from 1 species
GAUGAACGCUGGCGGCGUGCUUAACACAUGCAAGUCGAACGGUGAACCUCGUCGGAGGCGAUCAGUGGCGAACGGGUGAGUGACUCGUUGGCAACCUGCCCCCGUCUCUGUGAUAACUCCAAGAAAUUGGGGCUAAUACCGGAUUUUCACCGCUUCUCGCAAGGGUGGUGGUGCAAAGGGUUUCCGGCUGGGGGUUGUCCCGCGCCGUAGGAGCUUGUUGGUAGUGUAAUGUCCUACCAAGGCGGCCACACGUAGCCGACCGGAGAGAGUGGUCGGCCACACUGGAGCUGGAACGCGGUCCAGACUCCUACGGGAGGCAGCAGUAGGGAAUGUGACGCAAAGGGCGAGAGCAUGACGGAGCAAGGGCGCGUGAGUGGUGGAGGUCUCGGGAUCGGAAAGCUCGGUUAUUGGGUAAGAACAAAUGUGUGAGGAACUGUGGCGGUCGUGACGGUACCUGAACAAAAAGCCACGGCUAACUACGUG